rnacentral:rRNA from 1 species
AGUGAACGCUGGCGGUAGGCCUAACACAUGCAAGUCGAACGGCAGCACAGUAAGAGCUUGCUCUUACGGGUGGCGAGUGGCGGACGGGUGAGGAAUACAUCGGAAUCUACUUUUUCGUGGGGGAUAACGUAGGGAAACUUACGCUAAUACCGCAUACGACCUACGGGUGAAAGCAGGGGAUCUUCGGACCUUGCGCGAUUGAAUGAGCCGAUGUCGGAUUAGCUAGUUGGCGGGGUAAAGGCCCACCAAGGCGACGAUCCGUAGCUGGUCUGAGAGGAUGAUCAGCCACACUGGAACUGAGACACGGUCCAGACUCCUACAGGAGGCAGCAGUGGGGAAUAUUGGACAAUGGGCGCAAGCCUGAUCCAGCCAUACCGCGUGAGUGAAGAAGGCCUUCGGGUUGGAAAGCCCUUUUGUUGGGAAAGAAAAGCAGCAGGUUAAUACCCCGCUGUUCUGACGGUACCCAAAGAAUAAGCACCGGCUAACUUCGUG